rnacentral:rRNA from 1 species
UAGGGAAUCUUCGGCAAUGGACGGAAGUCUGACCGAGCAACGCCGCGUGAGUGAAGAAGGUUUUCGGAUCGUAAAGCUCUGUUGUAAGAGAAGAACGAGUGUGAGAGUGGAAAGUUCACACUGUGACGGUAUCUUACCAGAAAGGGACGGCUAACUACGUGCCAGCAGCCGCGGUAAUACGUAGGUCCCGAGCGUUGUCCGGAUUUAUUGGGCGUAAAGCGAGCGCAGGCGGUUAGAUAAGUCUGAAGUUAAAGGCUGUGGCUUAACCAUAGUACGCUUUGGAAACUGUUUAACUUGAGUGCAAGAGGGGAGAGUGGAAUUCCAUGUGUAGCGGUGAAAUGCGUAGAUAUAUGGAGGAACAUCGGUGGCGAAAGCGGCUCUCUGGCUUGUAACUGACGCUGAGGCUCGAAAGCGUGGGGAGCAAACAGGAUUAGAUACCCUGGUAGUCCACGCCGUAAACGAUGAGUGCUAGGUGUUAGACCCUUUCCGGGGUUUAGUGCCGCAGCUAACGCAUUAAGCACUCCGCCUGGGGAGUACGACCGCAAGGUUG